rnacentral:rRNA from 1 species
AUUGAACGCUGGCGGCAGGCCUAACACAUGCAAGUCGAACGGUAACAGGAAGCAGCUUGCUGCUUCGCUGACGAGUGGCGGACGGGUGAGUAAUGUCUGGGAAACUGCCUGAUGGAGGGGGAUAACUACUGGAAACGGUGGCUAAUACCGCAUAACGUCGCAAGACCAAAGAGGGGGACCUUCGGGCCUCUUGCCAUCAGAUGUGCCCAGAUGGGAUUAGCUAGUUGGUGAGGUAACGGCUCACCAAGGCGACGAUCCCUAGCUGGUCUGAGAGGAUGACCAGCCACACUGGAACUGAGACACGGUCCAGACUCCUACGGGAGGCAGCAGUGGGGAAUAUUGCACAAUGGGCGCAAGCCUGAUGCAGCCAUGCCGCGUGUAUGAAGAAGGCCUUUGGGUUGUAAAGUACUUUCAGCGGGGAGGAAGGUGUUGUGGUUAAUAACCGCAGCAAUUGACGUUACCCGCAGAAGAAGCACCGGCUAACUCCGUGCCAGCAGCCGCGGCAAUACGGAGGGUGCAAGCGUUAAUCGGAAUUACUGGGCGUAAAGCGCACGCAGGCGGUCUGUCAAGUCGGAUGUGAAAUCCCCGGGCUCAACCUGGGAACUGCAUUCGAAACUGGCAGGCUUGAGUCUUGUAGAGGGGGGUAGAAUUCCAGGUGUAGAGGUGAAAUGCGUAGAGAUCUGGAGGAAUACCGGUGGCGAAGGCGGCCCCCUGGACAAAGACUGACGCUCAGGUGCGAAAGCGUGGGGAGCAAACAGGAUUAGAUACCCUGGUAGUCCACGCCGUAAACGAUGUCUACUUGGAGGUUGUGCCCCUGAGGCGUGGCUUCCGGAGCUAACGCGUUAAGUAGACCGCCUGGGGAGUACGGCCGCAAGGUUAAAACUCAAAUGAAUUGACGGGGGCCCGCACAAGCGGUGGAGCAUGUGGUUUAAUUCGAUGCAACGCGAAGAACCUUACCUGGUCUUGACAUCCACGGAAGUUUUCAGAGAUGAGAAUGUGCCUUCGGGAACCGUGAGACAGGUGCUGCAUGGCUGUCGUCAGCUCGUGUUGUGAAAUGUUGGGUUAAGUCCCGCAACGAGCGCAACCCUUAUCCUUUGUUGCCAGCGAUUAGGUCGGGAACUCAAAGGAGACUGCCAGUGAUAAACUGGAGGAAGGUGGGGAUGACGUCAAGUCAUCAUGGCCCUUACGACCAGGGCUACACACGUGCUACAAUGGCGCAUACAAAGAGAAGCGACCUCGCGAGAGCAAGCGGACCUCAUAAAGUGCGUCGUAGUCCGGAUUGGAGUCUGCAACUCGACUCCAUGAAGUCGGAAUCGCUAGUAAUCGUGGAUCAGAAUGCCACGGUGAAUACGUUCCCGGGCCUUGUACACACCGCCCGUCACACCAUGGGAGUGGGUUGCAAAAGAAGUAGGUAGCUUAACCUUCGGGAGGGCGCUUACCACUUUGUGAUUCAUGACUGGGGUGAAGUCGUAACAAGGUAACCC